AGCGAACGCUGGCGGCAGGCUUAACACAUGCAAGUCGAGCGGGCAUAGCAAUAUGUCAGCGGCAGACGGGUGAGUAACACGUGGGAACGUACCUUUUGGUUCGGAACAACUGAGGGAAACUUCAGCUAAUACCGAAUAAGCCCUUACGGGGAAAGAUUUAUUGCCAAAAGAUCGGCCCGCGUCUGAUUAGCCAGUUGGUAGGGUAAUGGCCUACCAAGGCGACGAUCAGUAGCUGGUCUGGGAGGAUGAUCAGCCACACUGGGACUGAGACACGGCCCAGACUCCUACGGGAGGCAGCAGUGGGGAAUAUUGGACAAUGGGCGCAAGCCUGAUCCAGCCAUGCCGCGUGAGUGAUGAAGGCCCUAGGGUUGUAAAGCUCUUUUAACGGGGAAGAUAAUGACGGUACCCGUAGAAUAAGCCCCGGCUAACUUCGUGCCAGCCGCCGCAGUAA
rnacentral:rRNA from 1 species